GGCUGGUCCGAUGGUAGUGGGUUAUCAGAACUUAUUAACAUUAGUGUCACUAAAGUUGGUAUUCAACCCCCCACUGCUAAAUUUGACUGGCUUAAA
ensembl:misc_RNA Y_RNA Y RNA